rnacentral:rRNA from 1 species
UACGAAGGGUGCAAGCGUUACUCGGAAUUACUGGGCGUAAAGCGUGCGUAGGCGGUUUGUUAAGUCCGCUGUGAAGGCCCUGGGCUCAACCUGGGAAUUGCAGUGGAUACUGGCAAGCUAGAGUGCGGUAGAGGAUGGUGGAAUUCCCGGUGUAGCGGUGAAAUGCGUAGAGAUCGGGAAGAACAUCGGUGGCGAAAGCGCUCUACUGGACCGCAACUGACACUCAGGGACGAAAGCUAGGGGAGCGAAUGGG